AGAAAGAGAAAAGCCUUCCAAAGCUGCAGGAUGGCAGAGACCUUUGUGAGCAGAUAUGUGAGCUUCAAAACAGAUGGAAAGGAUCACAUUGGAUGAAAGAUCCCAUCCAAGGCUCAGUCUGAGCAGGAUCAGCUUGGGGGUUAAGUUUGCAUCAAGUACGUACAAAUUGAUCGUCUAGAGACCAUGGCCUCUGGCAACGGUUGAUGUAAUAGUUAAAUUCAUGUGUCAGUUUGACCUGGACAUAGCAUACUCAGCGUUUAGUCAAAUGUAUUUAGGGACACUUCUCUGAGUGUGUUUGCCGUGUUUCAACUGCUAGGCUGGGUAAUACACACGGCUCUCCCUAUGAAGACUGGGCACAGUUUAAGAAGAUACAGAUCUGAAGAUCAUCACAAGAGUCUGUGUUUACAGAAGCAGAGAGAACUCCCCCCCCCCAUUGUUGUAAAAAUAUAAAAAAUAAAGACGCUGUCUUUUAUCCUGCUA